rnacentral:lncRNA from 1 species
UAAGACGUCAUCUUGCUGCGCAAAACGAGCGGUUGUUGACAGGCCGCAGAGGCGGCUGAAGGUGAGCUGAGUGUAUCCUAUCAUGCCUGACUGGGCGAGUUGUCCUGGGCCGAGGCCUCUGGGCUGGGGAUGAAAGAAACGGAUCCGAUGCAGAGUCUGGAGGGCUCCGGGGCCGAGAGGUCAGUCGGCACGCAGACGGGCAGCAUGACGGAAAACUGAAGAGGAAACCCGUGGUCCCUUAGGAGAUAAUGAAGACCUGGCCAGAGUAUCUACUGACAAAAAACAGGUUAAGAAAACUGGUCUUGUGGUGGUAAAAAACAUGAAGAUCAUUGGUCUGCACUGUUCCAGUGAAGACUUGCAUACUGGGCAAAUUGCUCUUAUUAAGCAUGGGUCCAGGCUGAAAAACUGUGAUCUUUAUUUUUCAAGAAAACCGUGUUCUGCUUGUUUGAAAAUGAUAGUGAAUGCUGGAGUUAACCGAAUUUCUUACUGGCCUUCUGACCCAGAAAUAAGUUUGCUCACUGAGGCUUCUAGUUCUGAAGAUGCAAAGCUAGAUGCCAAAGCAGCAGAACGAUUGAAGUCAAACAGCCGGGCCCACGUGUGCGUCCUCCUCCAGCCGCUGGUGUGUUACAUGGUGCAGUUUGUAGAGGAAACUUCUUACAAAUGUGACUUUAUUCAAAAAACUGCAAAAGCAUUGCCGGGUGCUGACACUGAUUUUUAUUCUGAAUGUAAACAAGAAAGAAUAAAAGAAUAUGAAAUGUUAUUUUUGGUUUCA